rnacentral:rRNA from 1 species
GACGAACGCUGGCGGCGCGCCUAACACAUGCAAGUCGAGCGAGAACCGGGCCUUCGGGCCCGGGGACAGCGGCGAACGGGUGAGUAACACGUGGGCAACCUGCCCUCGGCACUGGGAUAGCCCGGGGAAACCCGGAUUAAUACCGGAUAGCCUCCGGAGCCUUCGGGCGCCGGAAGAAAGGUGGCUUCGGCAUCCGGCCGAGGAGGGGCCCGCGGCGGAUUAGCUUGUUGGUGGGGUAAUGGCCCACCAAGGCGACGAUCCGUAGCUGGUCUGAGAGGACGAUCAGCCACACUGGGACUGAGACACGGCCCAGACUCCUACGGGAGGCAGCAGUGGGGAAUCUUGCGCAAUGGGCGAAAGCCUGACGCAGCGACGCCGCGUGCGGGAAGAAGGCCUUCGGGUUGUAAACCGCUUUCAGGAGGGACGAAGCCACUCGGGUGAACAGCCCAGAGGGUGACGGUACCUCCAGAAGAAGCCCCGGCUAACUACGUGCCAGCAGCCGCGGUAA